rnacentral:rRNA from 1 species
CGCCUGUUUAUCAAAAACAUGACUGAGAGAAUAUGACUCUUAGCAAUGCCUGCCCAGUGCGACUAAAAUCGUAAACGGCCGCCCUAGCGUGAGGGUGCUAAGGUAGCGAAAUUCCUUGCCUUUUAAUUGUAGGCCUGCAUGAAUGGCUUGACGAGGGUUUAACUGUCUCUAGUCUUAAAGUUUAAAUUGGAUUAAAGGUGAAGAUACCUUUAUAUAAAAGUCAGACAAGAAGACCCCGUGCAACUUUUAAAGUCAGUUUAUUAAGAAACUUAAGAUUUUUAGGUGGGGCGCCUAUUAAGUAACUGUAACCUUUGUGGAUAUUAAGAACUCUCAAGUGUAGACCCGGCAUAUGCCGAUCAUAGGAGAAGUUACGCCGGGGAUAACAGGCUAAUUCACUAGUAGAGAACGUAUUGGCUAGUGAGAUUGGCACCUCGAUGUUGAAUCAGGGAUGAUACCUUUAAGGCGUAGAAGCUUUAGAAGUGGGUCUGUUCGACCUUUAAUACCCUACGUGAUCUGAGUUUAGACCGG